rnacentral:rRNA from 1 species
AUUGAACGCUGGCGGCAUGCCUUACACAUGCAAGUCGAACGGUAACAGGUCUUCGGAUGCUGACGAGUGGCGAACGGGUGAGUAAUACAUCGGAACGUGCCCGAUCGUGGGGGAUAACGCAGCGAAAGCUGUGCUAAUACCGCAUACGAUCUACGGAUGAAAGCGGGGGACUCGCAAGGGCCUCGCGCGGACGGAGCGGCCGAUGGCAGAUUAGGUAGUUGGUGGGAUAAAAGCUUACCAAGCCGACGAUCUGUAGCUGGUCUGAGAGGACGACCAGCCACACUGGGACUGAGACACGGCCCAGACUCCUACGGGAGGCAGCAGUGGGAAUUUUGGACAAUGGGCGCAAGCCUGAUCCAGCCAUGCCGCGUGCAGGAUGAAGGCCUUCGGGUUGUAAACUGCUUUUGUACGGUAACGAAAAGCUCUCUCUAAUACAGGGGUGAAUGACGGUACCGUAAGAAUAAGCACCGGCUAACUACGUGCCAGCAGCCG